rnacentral:SRP_RNA from 1 species
GUUGGGCGUGGUGGUUGUAGUCCUAACUACUCAUUCAGGAGGCUGAGGCUGGAGGAUCACUUGAGGCCAGGAGUUCUGGGCUGUAGUGUGGCAUGCCCAUCAGGUUUCUAUACUAAGUUCCACAUCAACAUGGUGACAUCCCAGGAGCACAGAUCACCAGGUUGCCUAUGGAGCGGUACACCGGUCCAGGUCAGAAACGGAGCAGGUCAAACCUCCCGUGCUGGUCUGUAAUGGGAUUGCGCCUAUGGAAUAACCACUGUAUUCCAACCUGUCUCUUAAAAAUAAAAUAAAGAAUUU